UACGAAGGGGGCUAGCGUUGUUCGGAAUACUGGGCGUAAAGCGCGCGCAGGCGGUUCUUCAAGUCAGAGGUGAAAGCCCAGAGCUCAACUCUGGAAUGGCCUUUGAGACUAGAGAACUAGGGUACGGGAGAGGUGAGUGGAAUUCCCAGUGUAGAGGUGAAAUUCGUAGAUAUUGGGAAGAACACCAGUGGCGAAGGCGGCUCACUGGCCCGCACUGACGCUGAGGCGCGAAAGCGUGGGAGCAACAGG
rnacentral:rRNA from 1 species